rfam:Xiphophorus maculatus strain JP 163 A Contig167.60, whole genome shotgun sequence.
UUUCCUCCCACAGAGCCAGUCAUUCCUCCCAUCGACCACUCAUCUAUUCUCCUCAAGACGUCAACAAGCUGAGGUCCAAUUGACAAAAAAAAAGGCCUUUUAUGGAAAAUCUGUAUAAACUACUGAGUCAGUGUGUGUCUUUUAGAGGCCAUGUAUGGGUAUAGACGUUUCACUGGUUUUACUACAGGUUUACCUG